GCGAGAGUAGCUCAGCUGGUAGAGCGCAACCUUGCCAAGGUUGAGGUCGCGAGUUCGAACCUCGUCUCCCGCUC
rnacentral:tRNA from 1 species